GCAGGGGUAGCAAAGCGGCUAUGCAUCCGCCUGCAGAGCGGAAUACGUGCGUUCAAAUCGCGCCCCCUGCU
rnacentral:tRNA from 1 species